rnacentral:rRNA from 1 species
AGCAGCCGCGGUAAUUCCAGCUCCAAUAGCGUAUAUUAAAGUUGCUGCAGUUAAAAAGCUCGUAGUUGAAUUUCGGGACUAAUAUGUCGGUCGUGCCUCGGUACGUACUGGUAUUUUGGUUUCUCCCUUCUGACGAACCAUGAUGUCAUUAAUUUGGUGUUAUGGGGAGUUAGGACUGUUACUUUGAAAAAAUUUAGAGUGUUUAAAGCAGGCAUUAGCUUGAAUACAUUAGCAUGGAAUAAUGAAAUAGGACGUUCGAUCCUAUUUUGUUGGUUUCUAGGAUCAACGUAAUGAUUAAUAGGGAUAGUUGGGGGCAUUAGUAUUCAAUUGUCAGAGGUGAAAUUCUUGGAUUUAUUGAAGACUAACUACUGCGAAAGCAUUUGCCAAGGAUGUUUUCAUUAAUCAAGAACGAAAGUUAGGGGAUCGAAGACGAUCAGAUACCGUCGUAGUCUUAACCAUAAACUAUGCCGACUAGGAAUCAGACGAUGUUAAUUUUUUUCAAUGACUCGUUUGGCACCUU